GGGGGACGGAAUCUCAACGUCUCUACAUCUCCACAUCUUCCUCACUUUGCCCCUCCCAUCUACUUCAUCUUCCUCGCUUCACCUAUCCCACUAAUCUUGUCUCGAGUUUUUCGCCCUUCGGAGAAAACCCAAAUACCACAGCCCAAUUGAAAAUCGGCCUGCGAGAUCAAGGGUCGGUCGUCCUCAACGUUGAAGAUCAGCAGUAGCAGCAGCGGCUUUGCUCUCAACGUUGAAAAGCUCAAAGGCGGUGAAAAGAAACGAAGAAGAAACUAUCUAAGUUUUCCUAUAAAUUUCCAAAUCAUGUUACUACGUUGUUGAAUUAUGAUGAAUCCCUGUCCGCCAUUGUGUCCUGUCCGCCAUAGUGUAUAUAGUGUGAGCAGGGCGUCUGUGUAUAGAAUUCUUCUUUUUUGUUUAGGAGAUCCGGUCACCAAGAUGGGUUAAUUGUUCAUCAUAGUUCUUGUUAUCUUGAAUCAGGGUCUUUUUUUUUUUUUUUCUGGUUUGCAAUACACUGCGUGUGGAAGCAUGGUCAAUUUACUGGUUGAGAUUCGAGACUGCUGUUUGCACUCAUUUACAAAGUUUUCUGUCAUAAGAAGUUGUUAGCCUUGAUAUUCUCA